GAAUGUUCAUAGCAGCUUUAUUCAUAAUAGCCAAAACUGGAAACAGCCCAAAUGCAUAGUAACAGAAUGAGUAAUUUAUACAAUUCAAUACUGUAUACAACAGUAUGAAUGAACGAACUACAACAUGCAACAAUACAGAUGAGUUGUAUAGACAUACUGUUGAGUCAAAGAAGCCAGACACAAGAGUGCAUAUUAUUUCAUUUAUUUGAAGUUGAAAAACAGGCAAAAUAAAUCUAUGCUGUUGAAUUAAUAGACCAUCCUUGGGAUAGUGGUAUAGUAACUGGAAGAGAACAUGCAUGGGGCUUCUGGAGUACUGGUGAUGUUCCAACUCUUAAUUUCAUACUAGUUUUUGCAUGUAUUCACGGUGUGAAAAAUCACACCUGUACACAAUUUGUGUGAUUUUCUGUAUGUAAAUUAUACUUCAAUAAAAAAUUUACCAAAAAGCAAACAAACAGCAAGUGAGAUAUCACUACACACGUAUUAAAAAGCCUAAAAUUAAAAGAGAAAUCAAUCAAUACCAAGUGUUUUAACUUUAAAAAUUAAGGAAUGUAGGUGUUAAGUGGUACAAGAGAUUCCCACUAAGAAAAAAGUGGGCUUUGUAAGGGAAACUGAACUUAAAGGUAUUGAAAAACAGAUGAACAGCCGGGCACAGUGGCUCACGCCUGUAAUCCCAGCACUUUGGAAGGCCAAGGCGGGCGGAUCACAAGGUCACGAGUUCAUGACCAGCCUGACCAACAUGGUGAAACACCGUCUCUACUAAAAAUAACAACAACAAAAAAGCCGGGCGAGGUAGCAGGCGCCUGUAAUCCCAGCUACUCAGGAGGCUGAGGCAGAAUUACUUGAACCUGGGAGGCGGAGGUUGCAGUAAGCCAAGACCAUGCCACUGGACUCCAGCCUGGGCAACAGAGCAAGACUCAAAAAAAAAUGGACACACCCAACUUUUUGGAUAAUGCCCCUCUCUCAUCCUUGGCAUGAGAUUACUGAUUACGAAUUACUGAGGGAUUUGUUGGAGACUGACACUAGGAGAGGAAUGUGAACUAUUACAGUGAAAGCUGGACUAGUAAAACUUACCCAUAAGAAUGCACCCAUUUGAGACAGGCACAAGACAUUACAACGCUCCUCUAGGUGUGUGUUGAAUAGUUAGUUCUUCAGCUUUGCUUUGCAUUUCUGCUGUUUGCAAGACUGCCUCACAGAGGGUCAAUCCUUCCCUUUUUCCUCUCCCUUUUCUAUUUAUUCAUUCAACAUAUAUUUGUCUAGACACUGUGCUAACCACUAGGAAUAUAUUAAUCACAAGUAAUAGAUGUGGUCCCUGCUCUUGAGUUUCAUUCUAAUUUUUUAAAAAACCCACAUUAAUAAUCACACGUAUCAAUGAGUAUGACUGUAGUGCUACGAAGAAGAGAUUCCUGGUUUUGACAGCCUAUCGGCCUGGUUAAGAAAGAAAGGGUAGGCUUUCUGGAGGAAGUGACACAAGUUGAAAUCGAAGGAUGAAGAGAAGUUAACUAGGGAACCAAAUAGGUGGGGAGCAUGACUAGUAAGAGGAACAAAGUCCAAUGUGGUUGGAACAGAGAAAAUAAGGGGACAUAUAGCAGAGGCUGGACAGAUCAGCAAGGGUCAGGCUAUCUCUGGCCUUGUGGACUGUGUUAAAAAGUUUUGUCAUUAUCCUAAGGGCAAGUAAUGCCAGAAAUGGUUUUAAGUUGAGAAGUGCCCUGAUUAUAUGUGUGUUUUGAAAAAAACCCAAUAUGGCUGUUGUAUGAACAAGUGAUUGGAAAGAGAUAAAAGUGGAUGAAGGGUAGACAGGAGGAUACUGCAGUAAGCCAGGAGCAAGGUGAUGGAAGCUUGGAUUGGCAUGGUAGCUGUCAAGAUGGAGAGAAGUAAAACUAUUCAAAAGAUAUUUAGAAGGCACAUGGGCACUAACAGUAGCUAUAAAAUAUGUUCCAUCUUUAUUUCUAAACAGAACAAAUAGACUAAUGCAUUUACAUCCGAUUCAGGAGUAUGCACGUUCUUAACCUUGGCUAUUAGUCUUGAGUAGCACAUUUCUUCCUAGGGAAAAAGUUAUGUGACCAGAUUGUACCUUAAUUGUGGGUGGGAUAUUCAGAAGCUGCUAAGUAUGAAUGUGCUCAAGAAGAGAACUGAGAAUUGCCUUCAAGUUGCAAAAGAGAGGGGGACAAGGCUAUGGAACCACCAAUGAAGUAUUAACACCCAAAAGGCAUUUAAAGAAAGAGAAAAUAGACAAGUGUACAAACAGAAGGGCAAGCAAGAGGCUGCUAUCUGUGUGGGACAAGUUUAAAUAGGACUAUUCAGAUAAACCAAAGCUAGGACAAUGCUUCUCAAGACCUACAGAGAUUUCUGGAAAAUGAGCCAUCAAGACAUUUGAAUGAAGACUACAGACUCCUCAGGAAGUGAGAAGCUCUUGAGGAAAGAUGUCCUUACACAUUCAGGUGAGUGCUUAAAACAAAGCAGCAUAUACUUCACUGAGGAGUACUGCCAUAUUUCUGAUCCCCAUGCUGGGGGAGUUGGUGAGGGAACAGUAGGGCCAUUAUGUUGCAGGGGCAAUUGUAUUCCCAGGUGAGAGGGGAUAAAAGAGCAAACACUAAGGCUGUCUCCAGAGGUGCUUGGCUAACAGUGAGAAGAUAAAGCUGCUUUGAUUUCCCCUGGGGAACUAGAUUCUACCAAGGGCUACUCCUGCUGCUCAAGGCAAAGAGCUGGGUCACCACUCAAAGGAAAAAUACUGAGGGUCAGUCCAGGAUGGGGACAAUGGCAGGGCAGAUCACAGCAUUUCCAGCACGUAUGAAAACAACUGUUUAGGCUGCUUUCAUACUGCUGUAUAAAACCCCCCCAAGACUGGGUAAUUUAUAAAGGAUCUUGUUUGACAGUUCUGCGUGGCUGGGGAGGCCUCAGGAAACUUAAAAUCAUGGCAGAAAGUGAAGCAGGCACGUUUUACGUGGCAGCAGGCGAGACAGGGUUUGUGUAGGACGCAAAGGGGGAAGAGCCCCUCAUAAAGCCAUCAGAUCUCAUGAGAACUCUCACAAGAACAGCAUGGGGGAAACUGCCCCCAUGAUCCAGUCACCUCCCACCGAGUCCCUCCCUCAACCUGGGGACGGGGAUUAUGAGGAUUACAAUUACAGAUGAGAUUUGGGUGGAGAAACAGCCAAACCAUACCAACAAUUUUGUCAACCAGACCCCAGUGGCACCUGGGACCUUGGGACUGACCAAGCUGGUGCUACAGAAGCUUUUAUGGAGAGUGGAUAUAAAGUUCUGGGGGAAAGCUAAGUUUGGGGGGAUGAGUAAACUAAAGUAACGAGAAU
rnacentral:lncRNA from 1 species